rnacentral:rRNA from 1 species
CCGGGGUUUGGGGUGGAUCCUCGGGGGGUUUUUUCUCUUUUUGGGGGUUCUCGGAGGGAUCAUUACCGAGUUUACAACUCCCAAACCCAAUGUGAACGUUACCAAACUGUUGCCUCGGCGGGAUCUCUGCCCCGGGUGCGUCGCAGCCCCGGACCAAGGCGCCCGCCGGAGGACCAACCAAAACUCUUAUUGUAUACCCCCUCGCGGGUUUUUUUAUAAUCUGAGCCUUCUCGGCGCCUCUCGUAGGCGUUUCGAAAAUGAAUCAAAACUUUCAACAACGGAUCUCUUGGUUCUGGCAUCGAUGAAGAACGCAGCGAAAUGCGAUAAGUAAUGUGAAUUGCAGAAUUCAGUGAAUCAUCGAAUCUUUGAACGCACAUUGCGCCCGCCAGUAUUCUGGCGGGCAUGCCUGUCCGAGCGUCAUUUCAACCCUCGAACCCCUCCGGGGGGUCGGCGUUGGGGAUCGGCCCUGCCUUGGCGGUGGCCGUCUCCGAAAUACAGUGGCGGUCUCGCCGCAGCCUCUCCUGCGCAGUAGUUUGCACACUCGCAUCGGGAGCGCGGCGCGUCCACAGCCGUUAAACACCCAACUUCUGAAAUGUGACCUCGGAUCAGGUAGGAUGCCAGAUUU